CUCAGACUGAAUGGGCUGAUUCAUUCAAUAGACCUCUAUAUACCUUCACUUUCAAACUUUUUACCAGACCAAACCUCCCUUAAAAACACAAAGACGUGUGACUGUGCAGUAAGCUUUACCAUAUUUAAAGGGUAACUUCAGUAUUUUUCAACCUGGACUCUAU